rnacentral:rRNA from 1 species
CCUACGGGAGGCAGCAGUCGAGAAUCAUUCACAAUGGGGGAAACCCUGAUGGUGCGACGCCGCGUGGGGGAAUGAAGGUCUUCGGAUUGUAAACCCCUGUCAUGUGGGAGCAAAUUAAAAAGAUAGUACCACAAGAGGAAGAGACGGCUAACUCUGUGCCAGCAGCCGCGGUAAUACAGAGGUCUCAAGCGUUGUUCGGAAUCACUGGGCGUAAAGUGUGCGUAGGCUGGUUCGUAAGGCGUGUGUGAAAGGCGCGGGCUCAACCCGCGGACGGCACGUGAUACUGUGGGACUAGAGUAAUGGAGAGGGAAGCGGAAUGCGCGGUGUAGCAGUGAAAUGCGUAGAUAUCGAGAGGAACACUCGUGGCGAAGGCAGGUUCCUGGACAUUAACUGACGCUGAGGCACGAAGGCCAGGGGAGCGAAAGGGAUUAGAUACCCUGGUAGUC